rnacentral:rRNA from 1 species
GACGUAGGUGGCGAACGUUAUCCGGAAUUAUUGGGCGUAAAGGGUGCGUAGGCGGCAUGAUAAGUUAUUGGCGGCAAAUCGAGGCUCAACCUCGUGGAAACUGAUAAUACUGCUUUGCUUGAGUACAGAAGAGGUUAACGGAACUCCAUGUGGAGCGGUAAAAUGUGUAGAUAUAUGGAAGAACAUCAAUAACGGCGAAGGCAGUUAACUAUUCUGUUACUGACGUUGAGGGCACGAA